AGAACGAAACCGAAGGCUCAACCA
rnacentral:siRNA from 1 species